rnacentral:tRNA from 1 species
GGAUAGAUAGUUCAACAACUAAAACGUAACACUGAAAAUGUUAAAAUGGCAUUCGCCUCCUUCCA